rnacentral:rRNA from 1 species
GAUUUCUGGUUUAAUGCACCUGGCCCGCGGCCACUAGGCUUGUGAGUGCCGGCGGUCGUUUACCAUCCUUCUAGAAAACGUUUCUGCCAUCAACUUGGUUGGGAAUGCGAUCUAGAUCUUUUACUUUGAAAAAAUUAGAGUGUUUAAAGCAGGCUUUUGCUAUGAAUACAGUGCUAGUAUUGGCCGGCCAGAGGUGAAAUUCUUGGAUUCGGUCAAGACUGACUUAUGCGAAAGCACUCACCAAGGAUGUCU